rnacentral:rRNA from 1 species
UACAGAGGGUGCGAGCGUUGUCCGGAAUCACGGGGCGUAAAGGGCGCGUAGGUGGCGCGACAAGUCAGUGGUGAAAGCUCGACGCUCAACGUCGAGUCGGCCACUGAUACUGUUGGGCUUGAGCACUGUAGAGGCUAAUGGAAUUCCGGGUGUAGCGGUGGAAUGCGUAGAGAUCCGGAAGAACACCGGUGGCGAAGGCGGUUAGCUGGGCAGUUGCUGACACUGAGGCGCGACAGCGUGGGGAGCAAACAGG